GAUGAACGCUGGCGGCGUGCUUAACACAUGCAAGUCGAACGAAGCACUUUAUUUGAUUUCCUUCGGGACUGAUUAUUUUGUGACUGAGUGGCGGACGGGUGAGUAACGCGUGGGUAACCUGCCUUGUACAGGGGGAUAACAGUUGGAAACGGCUGCUAAUACCGCAUAAGCGCACAGCAUCGCAUGAUGCAGUGUGAAAAACUCCGGUGGUAUAAGAUGGACCCGCGUUGGAUUAGCUAGUUGGUGAGGUAACGGCCCACCAAGGCGACGAUCCAUAGCCGACCUGAUAGGGUGACCGGCAACAUUGGGACUGAGACACGGCCCAAACUCCUACGGGAGGCAGCAGUGGGGAAUAUUGCACAAUGGGCGAAAGCCUGAUGCAGCGACGCCGCGUGAGCGAAGAAGUAUUUCGGUAUGUAAAGCUCUAUCAGCAGGGAAGAUAAUGACGUUACCUGACUAAGAAGCACCGGCUAAAUACGUG
rnacentral:rRNA from 1 species